GACGAACGCUGGCGGCGUGCCUAAUACAUGCAAGUAGAACGCUGAAGAGAGGAGCUUACUCUUCUUGGAUGAGUUGCGAACGGGUGAGUAACGCGUAGGUAACCUGCCUUGUAGCGGGGGAUAACUAUUGGAAACGAUAGCUAAUACCGCAUAACAAUGGAUGACACAUGUCAUUUAUUUGAAAGGGGCAAUUGCUCCACUACAAGAUGGACCUGCGCUGUAUUAGCUAGUAGGUGAGGUAAUGGCUCACCUAGGCGACGAUACAUAGCCGACCUGAGAGGGUGAUCGGCCACACUGGGACUGAGACACGGCCCAGACUCCUACGGGAGGCAGCAGUAGGGAAUCUUCGGCAAUGGGGGCAACCCUGACCGAGCAACGCCGCGUGAGUGAAGAAGGUUUUCGGAUCGUAAAGCUCUGUUGUAAGUCAAGAACGGGUGUGAGAGUGGAAAGUUCACACUGUGACGGUAGCUUACCAGAAAGGGACGGCUAACUACGUG
rnacentral:rRNA from 1 species